rnacentral:rRNA from 1 species
GAUGAACGCUGGCGGCGUGCCUAAUACAUGCAAGUCGAGCGAACGGACGAGAAGCUUGCUUCUCUGAUGUUAGCGGCGGACGGGUGAGUAACACGUGGAUAACCUACCUAUAAGACUGGGAUAACUUCGGGAAACCGGAGCUAAUACCGGAUAAUAUUUUGAACCGCAUGGUUCAAAAGUGAAAGACGGUCUUGCUGUCACUUAUAGAUGGAUCCGCGCUACAUUAGCUAGUUGGUAAGGUACGGCUUACCAAGGCAACGAUGCAUAGCCGACCUGAGAGGGUGAUCGGCCACACUGGAACUGAGACACGGUCCAGACUCCUACGGGAGGCAGCAGUAGGGAAUCUUCCGCAAUGGGCGAAAGCCUGACGGAGCAACGCCGCGUGAGUGAUGAAGGUCUUCGGAUCGUAAAACUCUGUUAUUAGGGAAGAACAUAUGUGUAAGUAACUGUGCACAUCUUGACGGUACCUAAUCAGAAAGCCACGGCUAACUACGUG